rnacentral:rRNA from 1 species
AUUGAACGCUGGCGGCAUGCCUUACACAUGCAAGUCGAACGGCAGCACGGGUGCUUGCACCUGGUGGCGAGUGGCGAACGGGUGAGUAAUACAUCGGAACAUGUCCUGUAGUGGGGGAUAGCCCGGCGAAAGCCGGAUUAAUACCGCAUACGAUCUACGGAUGAAAGCGGGGGACCUUCGGGCCUCGCGCUAUAGGGUUGGCCGAUGGCUGAUUAGCUAGUUGGUGGGGUAAAGGCCUACCAAGGCGACGAUCAGUAGCUGGUCUGAGAGGACGACCAGCCACACUGGGACUGAGACACGGCCCAGACUCCUACGGGAGGCAGCAGUGGGGAAUUUUGGACAAUGGGCGAAAGCCUGAUCCAGCAAUGCCGCGUGUGUGAAGAAGGCCUUCGGGUCGUAAAGCACUUUUGUCCGGAAAGAAAUCCUUGGCCCUAAUACGGUCGGGGGAUGACGGUACCGGAAGAAUAAGCACCGGCUAACUACGU